rnacentral:rRNA from 1 species
GAUGAACGCUGGCGGCGUGCCUAAUACAUGCAAGUCGAGCGAACGGACGAGAAGCUUGCUUCUCUGAUGUUAGCGGCGGACGGGUGAGUAACACGUGGAUAACCUACCUAUAAGACUGGGAUAACUUCGGGAAACCGGAGCUAAUACCGCAUGAUAUUUUGAACCGCAUGGUUCAAAAGUGAAAGACGGUCUUGCUGUCACUUAUAGAUGGAUCCGCGCUGCAUUAGCUAGUUGGUAAGGUAACGGCUUACCAAGGCAACGAUGCAUAGCCGACCUGAGAGGGUGAUCGGCCACACUGGAACUGAGACACGGUCCAGACUCCUACGGGAGGCAGCAGUAGGGAAUCUUCCGCAAUGGGCGAAAGCCUGACGGAGCAACGCCGCGUGAGUGAUGAAGGUCUUCGGAUCGUAAAACUCUGUUAUUAGGGAAGAACAUAUGUGUAAGUAACUGUGCACAUCUUGACGGUACCUAAUCAGAAAGCCACGGCUAACUACGUG